GUAAACCCAAGGUUUCCAGGGGAAGGUUCGUCCGCCCUGGGUUAGUCGGGACCUAAGCUGAGGCCGAAAGGCGUAGGUGAUGGACAACAGGUUGAUAUUCCUGUACUACCGAUAACCGUUUGAGAGAAGGGAUGACACAGUAGGAUAAGCUAAGCACACUGUUGGUUAUGUGUGCCCAAGCAUUGAGGCAGUCAAAGUAGGCAAAUCCGCUUUGAUAAUGCUGGGAUGUGAUGGGGAGCGAAAUUUAGUAGCGAAGUAGCUGAUUUCACACUGUCAAGAAAAGUCUCUAUCGAGGUUAAAGGUACCCGUACCGCAAACCGACACAGGUGGGUGAGGAGAGUAUCCUAAGGCCAGCGAGAGAACUGUUGUUAAGGAACUCGGCAAAAUGACCCCGUAACUUAGGGAUAAGGGGUGCCACCAUCAGGUGGCCGCAGAGAAUAGGCCCAAGCGACUGUUUACCAAAAACAUAGGUUUCUGCUAAGUCGCAAGACGAUGUAUAGGAGCUGACGCCUGCCCGGUGCUGGAAGGUUAAGGGGAUCUGUUAGAGCAAUCGAAGCAGUGAACUUAAGCCCCAGUAAACGGCGGCCGUAACUAUAACGGUCCUAAGGUAGCGAAAUUCCUUGUCGGGUAAGUUCCGACCCGCACGAAAGGCGUAACGAUUUGGGCACUGUCUCAACAACAGACUCGGUGAAAUUGUAAUUCCGGUGAAGAUGCCGGAUACCUGCGACAGGACGGAAAGACCCCAUGGAGCUUUACUGUAGCUUGACAUUGGGUCUUGGUACUACAUGUACAGGAUAGGUGGGAGGCUUUGAAACCAGGACGCCAGUUUUGGCGGAGCCAUCCUUGGGAUACCACCCUUGUAGUACUGGGACUCUAACCAUAGGCCAUGAAUCUGGUCUUGGGACACUGUCAGGUGGGCAGUUUGACUGGGGCGGUCGCCUCCCAAAAGGUAACGGAGGCGCUCAAAGGUUCUCUCAGUACGGUCGGAAAUCGUACGUAGAGUGUAAAGGCAAAAGAGAGCUUGAUUGCAAGACAUACAGGUCGAGCAAGGAUGAAAAUCGGACUUAGUGAUCCGGUGGUUCUGCGUGGAAGGGCCAUCGCUCAACG
rnacentral:rRNA from 1 species